ACAUGAUGAAAACUAAACAAAAUAGCUGGAAUUACCGGCUGAAACUUCUUGUUGAGAACUGUUUUCUGACA